rnacentral:rRNA from 2 species
GGCUCUGCUAUCGCUUUUGGAUGGACCCGCGGCGUAUUAGCUAGUUGGUGNNGUAAUAGCUCACCAAGGCAAUGAUACGUAGCCGACCUGAGAGGGUAAUCGGCCACAUUGGGACUGAGACACGGCCCAAACUCCUACGGGAGGCAGCAGUAGGGAAUCUUCCACAAUGGGCGAAAGCCUGAUGGAGCAAUGCCGCGUGAGUGAAGAAGGUUUUCGGAUCGUAAAACUCUGUUGUUGAAGAAGAACAUGCGUGAGAGUAACUGUUCACGUACUGACGGUAUUCAACCAGAAAGCCACGGCUAACUACGUGCCAGCAGCCGCGGUAAUACGUAGGUGGCAAGCGUUGUCCGGAUUUAUUGGGCGUAAAGAGAAUGUAGGCGGUUUAUUAAGUUUGAAGUGAAAGCCCUCGGCUCAACCGAGGAAGUGCUUCGAAAACUGGUAAACUUGAGUGCAGAAGAGGAAAGUGGAACUCCNUGUGUAGCGGUGGAAUGCGUANAUAUAUGGAAGAACACCA